AAAUUAUGGUGCACAUACAUCAUGAAGUAUUACUUAGCCAUAAAAAAGAAUGACUUUAUGACAUUUGCAAGUAAAUGGAUGGACCUGGAGACUAUCAUGCAAAAUGAAAUAAGUCAGUCCCAAGAAACCAAAGAUUGAAUGUUUUUGCUGAAAUGUGGAAGCUAACCUACAGUAAGUGGGUGUGGGGAGAGGGAAAGAAUAGAUAUUCAGUAGAUUAAACAAAGGGGAAUGAAGGAAGGGAGGGGAAUAGGAAAAGAAAAAACAGUGGAAUGAAUCUGAAAUAAUUUUCCCUGUGUACAUAUAUGAAUACACCACAGUGAAUCUCACCAUCAUUACAUCCAUAAGAAUGGGGUCCUAAUUAAAAUAAGAUAUACUCCAUGCUUGUACAAUUAUAUCAAAAUGAAUUCUAGUAUCUUGUAUAACUAAAAAGAACCAAUUAAAAAUAGGAUUCUCUUCUGCCUUCAUUCAAUCUAAUAAAUUCUAAUGCAGAGGUAUUAUGAAAAUUAAAAAAAA
rnacentral:lncRNA from 1 species